UGGGGAAUAUUGCACAAUGGGGGAAACCCUGAUGCAGCGACGCCGCGUGAGUGAAGAAGUAUUUCGGUAUGUAAAGCUCUAUCAGCAGGAAAGAAAAUGACGGUACCUGACUAAGAAGCCCCGGCUAACUACGUGCCAGCAGCCGCGGUAAUACGUAGGGGGCAAGCGUUAUCCGGAUUUACUGGGUGUAAAGGGAGCGUAGACGGUUAUGCAAGUCUGAAGUGAAAUGCGGGGGCUUAACCCCUGAACUGCUUUGGAAACUGUAAAACUGGAGUGCAGGAGAGGUAAGUGGAAUUCCUAGUGUAGCGGUGAAAUGCGUAGAUAUUAGGAGGAACACCAGUGGCGAAGGCGGCUUACUGGACUGUAACUGACGUUGAGGCUCGAAAGCGUGGGGAGCAAACAGG
rnacentral:rRNA from 1 species